GCCCCUCCUCUUGUUGGAAAAAAAGGAGAAGAAAUCAAAUUUCUUGAUUUCCUCUGGUGAUCAACAACAUCCCCUUCCUGUCGUCUUAUGCAACACAUUUUACAUGGAACUCUUGCUACAGUACAACACAGUUGUGUAACAGCUUGGCAAUGGAGGAAACCGAGUCAACUAUGGUAGAGAAACCAACAGGAGAAAGUGAGAAUCAGAAGUUAGAUGAGACCCUGUUGUUGUCCAGCAAACCUCUGCACCGUUUUGUCCAAAAACAACCCAGAAGCUUUGGGAUUGUGAUUCUGAUGUUUGGUUGUGCUGAGAUUGUGAUGGGAUGUUCAAUGGCUGGUAUUAACAUGGAAACCUCAUUCAAAAUGUAUAUUCCCUUCUGGCAAGGAACUCUGUUCAUUACAUGUGGAGUCCCUAUCUAUCUACACUGAGUUACAUCCAUCCAAGAAGAUGGUGACCGUAUCCCUGGCCAUGUAUGUGGUCUCUCUGUUGGGCACUAUUAUCACCAUUGUACGAAGGAUAAGCUUAAUCAUUUUCUACACGUGGCAUCUUCGGUUUUACUUCCACAGUGCUAUACUAUUUCUUUGGGUGGAAGGAAUCUUGUCUGCAUCUUCCCUGCUUGUAUCAGCAUUUCUUAUCUUCUUGAGCGCCAUCGCAGGUUAUGCAUUAAGAUCUACGAGAAAAGCAGAUUACUGUCCAGCACUUUGUGAUUGAUCCUCAGAGUGAAGAAAACACAAACUAGGACCAAUGUUCUUCAGUACUAUUCUGCACUUACAUAACACUGUUUUGUUCACUUCAGGUGUUUUUAUCAAUUAUGUCAUAUACUGUACAUGUUUAACAUGUAUUUCAAACUGCUAGACAACAUGAGAUAAAUAUCUUAUUUUAAUUGUUGAAGAGGUCACGUGGCGUAGAUCAGUUUUCAAAUAAAAAGCAACCAGCUCCUUCCUCCUCAUAUAGCGAGACGUAACAGUAUUCAUACCCCUUAAACAUUUCUGUAAUAAGUCACACUAAAAAUUCAACAUGAAAUGUAUUGAAUUGUUGUUUUUUUUAAUUAACAUAAACAAAAUAACCCAUUUAGAAUUACAUUUAGAGCCAGGGUUGUGUACCCAUUCUUCAUGUAAAAAGACUUCAUCUCAAUCUAUGAAGUAUGUGAAUUUACUGACUGACAUAGAUUGUGAAGUUUUACCACAGAUUCUUAGUUGGAUUAAGUCGGAACAUUUGGCCAUUCUUGCACAUAAAUAUCCUUCGGUAAAAUCCGUCCUAUUGUAGCCAUAGCUGUGUGUUUGGUGUGGGUGUUCGAAGGGAAGGUGGAUCUCCACGCAAGACUCCAAGAAGGCUUCGUAUUUAAUUCUAUCAAUAUUACAAUCAACUUUGAUCAUCUUCCUUGACUACUAGCUGUCUUCUGAACUUGAGCUGUAGAUAUCUGAAUCUCCUUCACAGUUACCAUGGAGCUCCUGGUUGUUUCACUGAGGAAUGCUCUCCUUUCCCGGCCUGUCAGUUUAGAUGGACAGACAUAUUUUGGUUGCUGUCUUUCCAUUUUCAGGGAUAUUGUUUCACAGAAAAAACUGUAUUUGUGCUGAGUUUAAAUUACAUAAAGAUGGACUCGUUAAAAAUUAGGUAAUUUUUGAAAAAAGCUAGUUCUUUUGGAUUUUACUGAAGGUUUGAAAGCCACGUAUCAUGUUUCUUCCACAUUAUAAUUAUGCAUAGCAUUGUGUUAUGUUGAUAUAUAACAAAUAAUACAAAAUAAACAGAGGCUUAUGGUUGUAACAUGGCAAAAACCUCAGAAGGUUCAAGGGGUAUAAAUACUCUUAGAAGAGGCUCUAUCCAGUUAAUCUCAGAUGAGAAAGAUUUUUACAACACCUGCACCAAGUUAGAAAAAUGAAACUUUUUCAUUGUAUCUAAAUUUAACCUGAAAAAUUACCACUAACAUCACAUCAGUAAUGUUAGAUUAACAAUGUAUUUUUUAUUGAAUAUUAUUAAUUAAGUGUUUAUUUACUGCUGUUAACCACUUGCUUUAGUUUUUAAUCAUGUACAAAUUUUUAACAGCUUUCAUGGUGACCAGCUUCACAUUUUUAAUCAGAUUACUUUAUUUUUGUAAUAAAUGUGAAUUAACUUUAUUGCAUUAACUGAUUUAAAAAUUUUUUGCUUAAAUAAAUUUGGCUUACAAGUACGCAGAUGUAUAAAAAAAAA